rnacentral:tRNA from 1 species
AGUAAAAUAAGCUAACAUAAGCUUUUGGGUUCAUACCCCAACCAUGAAUAUUUUCUUUUACUA